rnacentral:rRNA from 1 species
CGCGAAACUAGGUGAGCUAAGUAAAUGUAAUUGUUAGAUUAGUAUAUGUUACAUAAUAUACCUAAACUUUUACUUAGGGGUGAUAGGCUUCUCAAAUCUAGUGAUAUCUCGAUUCUUAAGAAAAACAUUGAGUGUUUAAACAAUCAGGUAGUGAUUAGGCUACCUAAGUGCAUAAAUUCUUUAACCUAUUAUUAUUUUGACUUAACUGUUAAGUAGUUUGUAGACUAAUAUGUAUUUAAAAAGCAUUUAUGGUUUAUAUUAAGCCUUAAUACAAUUCUAAAGUAUAGUGAUACUGUAUCUAUUAGUAGUGGUUAAAAUAUUCAAAAUGAACUCGGCAACGUACCCUUCAACUGUUUACCAAAAACAUAGUUACGUGCAACUAUCCGUAAUGGUUUCUGCUCAAUGAGAUUUAAAUAGCCGCAGUACCCUGACUGUGCAAAGGUAGCGUAAUAAGUUGACUUCCAAAUAAAGUCCUGUAUGAAUGAAUGCAUGGGGGGUAACUUUAUCUUGAAUAUGAGCCGAACUUAUCUUUAAAGUGCAAAAUCUUUACGCAAAAUGACAGACGAGAAGACCCUUGAAAUUUUUAAUGAAAUUGUAAAAGGAGGUUUUUGUUGGGGCAACAGAGUAACACGAAACUUACUUUUAUGACAUGACUAUAUGUGUGGAAGAUGAAAUUACUCUAGGGAUAACAGCGUAAUUUAAUAAAGUUUGCGACCUCGAUGUUGGACUAGGAAAAAAUUGUUCAGAA